AUUGAACGCUGGCGGCAGGCUUAACACAUGCAAGUCGAGCGGGGACUUCGGUCCUAGCGGCGAACGGGUGAGGAAUGCUUGGGAAUCUGCCCAGUAGUGGGGGAUAACGUUUCGAAAGGAACGCUGAUACCGCAUACGUCCUACGGGAGAAAGGGGGGGAUCUGCGGACCUCUCGCUAUUGGAUGAGCCCAAGUCGGAUUAGCUAGUUGGUAGGGUAAAGGCUCACCAAGGCGACGAUCCGUAGCUGGUCUGAGAGGAUGAUCAGCCACACUGGAACUGAGACACGGUCCAGACUCCUACGGGAGGCAGCAGUGGGGAAUAUUGGACAAUGGGCGAAAGCCUGAUCCAGCCAUGCCGCGUGUGUGAAGAAGGUCUUCGGAUUGUAAAGCACUUUAAGUUGGGAGGAAGGGCAGUAAGCUAAUACCUUGCUGUUUUGACGUUACCGACAGAAUAAGCACCGGCUAACUCUGUGCCAGCAGCCGCCGUAAAAC
rnacentral:rRNA from 1 species